UACGUAGGGCGCAAGCGUUAUCCGGAAUUAUUGGGCGUAAAGAGCUCGUAGGCGGUUUGUCGCGUCUGCCGUGAAAGUCCGGGGCUCAACUCCGGAUCUGCGGUGGGUACGGGCAGACUAGAGUGAUGUAGGGGAGACUGGAAUUCCUGGUGUAGCGGUGAAAUGCGCAGAUAUCAGGAGGAACACCGAGUGCGAAGGCAGGUCUCUGGGCACUUGACCUGACGCUGAGGAGCGAAAGUCGGUGGGAGCAACAGG
rnacentral:rRNA from 1 species